CGGGGGGGCGAAGCGUUGUUCGGAAUUACUGGGCGUAAAGGGCGCGUAGGCGGUUUGCUAAGUUGGAUGUGAAAACUACUGGGCUUAACCCAGAGCCUGCAUCCAAAACUAAGCAGGCUAGAGUUCUGGAGGGGAUAGCGGAAUUCCUGGUGUAGCGGUGAAAUGCGUAGAUAUCAGGAGGAACACCGGUGGCGAAGGCGGCUAUCUGGACAGAAACUGACGCUGAGGCGCGAAAGCUAGGGGAGCAAACAGGAUUAGAUACCCUGGUAGUCCUAGCCCUAAACGAUGGAUACUUGGUGUGACUGGGAUUGAAUCCAGUCGUGCCGAAGCUAACGCAUUAAGUAUCCCGCCUGGGGAGUACGGUCGCAAGGCUG
rnacentral:rRNA from 1 species